AGUGCGUUACUUACCUCGACUCUUAGCUUGUCGGGGACGGUAACCGGGACCCGGUGUCUGCUCCUAUCGCCUUUGCCUCCUAAUCCCUAGCCACUAUGGUGAGUAAGCCGCGCGGCUCCCGGCUGCUUUCAAGGAAGCAGGGAAAAGCGAGCCGGCGGGGCGCGGGGGCCUUGUAUACAGCCGGGGAGGGCUGGCCUCAGAGCCGUCCGUUUGGAGGGCGGAAAACGAGGCGAGAGGCCAGGGCGGGAGUGAUGGGACCUCGGUGUGUGUAAAUAGUGGGGGCCCGCAAAGGUCGAGGGGCGCCAGGAUUUCUUCUCGGACUCUGGAAGGGAUGGGGGGCUCGGGCUGCCCUCCGCCGUAUCCGGAGCUCUCUUUUAUCGCGUAACUCUGUCCUGGGUGCGGUCCCUCGAGUCCCCGCAGUCCUUUCCAGCGCAUGCCCUUACCCCGCCUUGGGUGGACGCGCGCGCGGACUCUUGCAGCCCUCACUUCCUCUUGAGCGCGAAAAGCGGGGGUGGGAAGCAGCUGGAGACAAAAGCGCGCACGCGCGACCGUUACCUUCCCGCCGCUCUUGGGCGGGAAACCGCCACUGCGGUUUGCGCAUGCGCUCUGGGUCGCGACACGACUAGGGCUACAGGGCGUGUCUCCUGUUAACUAACCUGAGUUUUCUUUUUUUGAUGAAAGCAAUAAGAGGACUGGGGAAGAGCUCCCUGUCAAUGUACCGCUCUACACCAGUUGUAUUAGGACAGUUCGUACACAAUAGUCUGUAGAGGCCACCUGUCUCUCCCUGCUGCGUUAGGAAUUCAGGGGAGCAGGUGGUGGCAGUAAGGGAUUUUGAGGGAACGGAAAUCGGAUCUUGACCCAGAUCUGGGCCGCCGAUAAUCCCCUACUGCGCUCAGACUGCUGUGGAGGUGUUAGGCUGAGCCCGAUGCCGGGAGGCAAGGGAGGAUGGGCGGCUUGGGCAGCGCCUUUGCAGACGUGGCCAUUUCGUGCCUCUGCAGCGCCGCUGGGGGGCGCAAGAACGCGCUCCCGGAAUUGCUCAUUCAUCCUGUGCCGCAGAGCCCCGCCCCUUGUCCCUGCGGACAGACAUUUCUUCUGCGCUGGUCUGGCCACGUGCUUCCUGUGCUAGGAGCUGCCCGGAAAUGUGGCCACCUAAAGUGGGAUUCUGGGGCCUGAGCGCUGGAUGGAUGCCCACCUUCCUGUCUUGGUCCUCCAGAGGAGGAAGCUGUGACUGAGCUGUCCUGGUCUGGAAGGAGGCCUUCCCGGUUUAGGAUGGGAAGGUAACAUUCGUUAAAAGCAACGUAGACUAUAGUGUAGCUGUUCUCAAAAGAGUAGUAAAUCUUAUGUUGCUUUAAAAAAGGAAAUUCGAUUUCAGGUUACGUGAGUAGCCUAACAUCUCCACAAAAAAAAUGAAAAAAUUAGCCGGGCGUGGUGGCCUGUGCCUGUGGUCCCAGCUGCUCCGGAGGCUGAGGUGGGGGGAUGACUGGAGCCCAGGAGGUUUAGGCUGCAAUGAGCCUAGAUGGCAUCACUGCACUCAAGCCUGGGUGACAGACCUUAUCUCUAAAAAAAUAAAGAUUGCAUGAGUAUUUUGUUCCACUUGACAGUCAUCAAUAGAUUGGUUUAAAUUGUGAUAUUUUUUUUCCUUCCCACAGCGUGAGUGCAUCUCCAUCCACGUUGGCCAGGCUGGUGUCCAGAUUGGCAAUGCCUGCUGGGAGCUCUACUGCCUGGAACACGGCAUCCAGCCCGAUGGCCAGAUGCCAAGUGACAAGACCAUUGGGGGAGGAGAUGACUCCUUCAACACCUUCUUCAGUGAGACGGGCGCUGGCAAGCAUGUGCCCCGGGCUGUGUUUGUAGACUUGGAACCCACAGUCAUCGAUGAAGUUCGCACUGGCACCUACCGCCAGCUCUUCCACCCUGAGCAACUCAUCACAGGCAAGGAAGAUGCUGCCAAUAACUAUGCCCGAGGGCACUACACCAUUGGCAAGGAGAUCAUUGAUCUUGUGUUGGACCGAAUUCGCAAGCUGGCUGACCAGUGCACCGGUCUUCAGGGCUUCUUGGUUUUCCACAGCUUUGGUGGGGGAACUGGUUCUGGGUUCACCUCCCUGCUCAUGGAACGUCUCUCAGUUGAUUAUGGCAAGAAGUCCAAGCUGGAGUUCUCCAUUUACCCGGCGCCCCAGGUUUCCACAGCUGUAGUUGAGCCCUACAACUCCAUCCUCACCACCCACACCACCCUGGAGCACUCUGAUUGUGCCUUCAUGGUAGACAAUGAGGCCAUCUAUGACAUUUGUCGUAGAAACCUCGAUAUCGAGCGCCCAACCUACACUAACCUUAACCGCCUUAUUAGCCAGAUUGUGUCCUCCAUCACUGCUUCCCUGAGAUUUGAUGGAGCCCUGAAUGUUGACCUGACAGAAUUCCAGACCAACCUGGUGCCCUAUCCCCGCAUCCACUUCCCUCUGGCCACAUAUGCCCCUGUCAUCUCUGCUGAGAAAGCCUACCAUGAACAGCUUUCUGUAGCAGAGAUCACCAAUGCUUGCUUUGAGCCAGCCAACCAGAUGGUGAAAUGUGACCCUCGGCAUGGUAAAUACAUGGCUUGCUGCCUGUUGUACCGUGGUGAUGUGGUUCCCAAAGAUGUCAAUGCUGCCAUUGCCACAAUCAAGACCAAGCGCAGCAUCCAGUUUGUAGAUUGGUGCCCCACUGGCUUCAAGGUUGGCAUUAAUUACCAGCCUCCCACUGUGGUGCCUGGUGGAGACCUGGCCAAGGUACAGAGAGCUGUGUGCAUGCUGAGCAACACCACAGCCAUUGCUGAGGCCUGGGCUCGCCUGGACCACAAGUUUGACCUGAUGUAUGCCAAGCGUGCCUUUGUUCACUGGUACGUGGGUGAGGGAAUGGAGGAAGGCGAGUUUUCAGAGGCCCGUGAAGAUAUGGCUGCCCUUGAGAAGGAUUAUGAGGAGGUUGGUGUGGAUUCUGUUGAAGGAGAGGGUGAGGAAGAAGGAGAGGAAUACUAAUUAUCCAUUCCUUUUGGCCCUGCAGCAUGUCAUGCUCCCAGAAUUUCAGCUUCAGCUUAGCUGACGUUAAAGCUUUCUGGUUAGAUUGUUUUCACUUGGUGAUUAUGUCUUUUCCAUGUGUACCUAUAAUAUUUUUCCAUCAUGUCUCAAAGUAAAGUCAUUAACAUC
rnacentral:sRNA from 1 species